rnacentral:rRNA from 1 species
AAUCAACGCUGGCGGCGUGCCUCAGACAUGCAAGUCGAACGCGAAAGGCCCCUUCGGGGGCCGAGUAGAGUGGCGCACGGGUGAGUAACACGUGGGUAAUUUACCUUCGGGUGGGGAAUAACAGCCGGAAACGGCUGCUAAUACCGCAUAAUGCAGCGGCUCCUCAUGGAGACAGUUGUUAAAGCGGGGGAUUCUUCGGAACCUCGCGCCUGAAGAGAAGCCCGCGGCGGAUUAGCUAGUUGGUAGGGUAACGGCCUACCAAGGCGACGAUCCGUAG